GCCGGGGGAAGCCCCCUCCACGCGGCGCGACCCCCGGCACCCCUCUCGGGGGAGGAGGCCCUCCGCCACGCCGGCGUGGGGAGGGCCGGGCGCCGUUCGUGAAGGAGAAGAGUCCCUCGGCCAUGCCUGCGUGGGGAGGAGCCGCCUCCCGCCGCGGAAGAGAGCCCGCGAGUGGGGCGGAAGCUCCCACCCGGCGGGCCGGGAGUGGGGCGAAGCACCCGUGGGUCGGCCGCCGUCCCUUCGCCGCCGCGUUAUGCAGGCUUAUGAUAUGCACCUCUGACCAGACUUGCUGUUGCUUCUCAGAUCCCUUCAGUCCCUGUUGACACUUCAUUUGGCCAAGGCCUGUCUUCUCUCUCUUCUUUGCCUUUAGGACUGAUGGGCUCAGUAGCGUGAAGGACAGAUUGCCCAUUUCCCUGAAGUUAACUCCAAGCUGACUUCUCACUGCAAAUGGACAGUUUCUCAAAGAUGAGGCUAGGUGGAGCAGCUCCAUGCUAUCUCAACUAUGGAAGGCCAACUUUGUGCUAACUUGGGGACUUCUGUGGAAAAACCUCCAGGAGCAAGUCUUCCAUCCUUCAUUGCUUUGCUGAAGGUAUACCGAGAACUUCUGGUCAGUAGAAUCCGAAACACGCAGUGUUUGAUUGACAACUUGAUUAAGAAUGAUUACUUCUCCACUGAAGAUGCAGAGAUUGUUGCCCAGUUUCCAACUCAAGCAGAUAAGGUUCGCAAAAUGCUAGACUUGGUUCAAAGCAAGGGAGAAGAAGUUUCAGAAUAUUUCAUCCGUGUCCUGCAGAAAGUCACUGAUGCUUACUAUGAACUUCAACCUUGGCUGGAUGAAAUAGGUUAUGAGCCUUCAGACAAUAUUUGUAGUAAACCUGUGGUAAAUACAGAUCCAGUUAGCAGGUAUUGCCAGAAACUCAGACAUGAACUGGGACGGGACUCCAAGUUUGUUAUGUCAUAUGCUCAGAGGGAAGAGAUGCUGCUUGAAGAAAUCUACUCUAACAGUACUAUGCAGCUGGUCAGUUUUACCAAUGAGAGUCUAGGCGAAGUAUGUCAAUUAGAAGCCCUUUUUGAUGAUGCAGUUGGGCUAAUUAAUGAAGAUGGAGAAACUAUUUAUGUCUUUGGUGAUGCAGGAAUUGGAAAAUCCAUCUUGUUGCAAAAGAUACAAAGCCUUUGGGCCAGAAAAGAACUGGACGUAGGAGCCAAAUUCUUCUUCCGUUUCCGAUGUAGGAUGUUUAGUUGCUUUAAGGAAGAUGAAGCCAUAUGUUUGAAAGACCUACUCUUCAAAUAUAAUUGCUACCCAGACCAGGACCCCACAGAGGUGUUCCAUUACAUCUUGCAAUUCCCUCAUACAGUUCUGUUCACAUUUGAUGGCUUUGAUGAGAUCUAUUCCAACUUUGAUCUCAGUAGUGUGCCCGAGAUGUGUUCACCCAAUGAACCCAUCCACCCCCUGGUGCUGCUGGUAAGUCUUCUCAGAGGAAAGCUUCUUAAGGGAUCCAAGAAAAUUCUUACAGCGAGGACAGGAACUGAGAUCCAAAGAAACAUCAUUAGAAAGAAAGUGUUGCUCCGUGGUUUCUCCAGCAGUAACCUGAAGGAAUACACUGCUAUGUUUUUCAAAGAUGAGGGGCAACGAACACUGGUUUUGAACCAGUUGGAAGCUAACCCCAAUCUCUGCAGUUUGUGUUCGGUGCCUUUAUUUUGUUGGAUUAUCUUUAAAUGCUAUGAACACUUCCAUUCCAUGUUUGACAGUCAUGAGCUUCCAAACUGUUCUGUUACAUUGACAGAUGUAUUUUUGCUCAUGAUUGAAGUCCAUCUGAACCGAUCUCUGAAAACAAGUUUGCUGAAGAACAACACCAGGAGCCAAGCAGAGAUGUUCAAAUCAAGAAAGGAAACUCUUCUAGCUUUGGGUAAAAUGGCAUACAAAGGGAUGGAGAACUCUUUCUUUAUCUUUGAGCAGGACGAAGUCUCAUCAGUGAACAUCUCUGAAGGAGAUUUGCAAUUGGGCUUUCUCAGGACAGUUAAAAGUUACAGUGGCUGUGACAGUCAGACCACUUAUGAGUUCUUGCACUUAACCCUUCAGUCUUUUUUCACAGCUUUGUUCCUGGUUAUUGAAGAGAAAGUGGGUGCCAAGGAGUUACUUCAGUUUUUCAAUGAAUGUUCUUCCACUGAGACUGCCCAGACUACUUGCUUUCAUAUUCCUUGGUUGAGGAAACAGCUAGCACGGGAGGAUCCUUUCCGAAAUAAUGAACACUUCCAUUUUACCAACAUGUUUCUUUGUGGCCUGCUUUCUAGAUCGAAGCAGAAGCUCUUCAGGCAUUUAGUGUUGCCUGCAGUCAUUAAGAGGAAGAGAAAGACGCUCAUCACAUACCUUGGGGAGAGCAUGAAAUCCCACUUGAAAGGCAUCACUCGUUCCAGGCUUCCAAACUACAAUCAGGUCCAGGUCCAGCCCAAUUUUGUUUGGAUGCUGAGGUGCCUUUAUGAGACUCAGAGUGAGAAGGUGGGGAAGCUGGCUGCCAAACGCAUGCGUGCCAAUUACAUCAAGCUCACAUACUGCAAUGCCUGCUCAGCUGACUGCAGCGCUAUUUCCUUUGUUAUGCAUCACUUUCAAAAGCGCCUGGCUCUAGAUUUGGACAACAACAACAUCAAUGACUAUGGAGUAAAACAGCUGCUACCUUGUUUCAGCAAGCUGGCAGUGAUCAGGCUCAGUGUAAAUCAGGUCACAGAUCACGGAGUGAGGAUCUUGUAUGAAGAGCUCUCAAAGUACCAAAUUGUGACUUUCUUGGGCUUAUACAACAAUCAAAUCACUGACGUUGGAGCCAAAUAUGUUGCAAAACUAAUUGAAGAGUGUUCAAGCCUUGAAUAUGUCAAAAUAGGAGCAAACAAAAUAACUAGCGAAGGAGGGAAGUGCCUUGCCCAGGCCAUCCAGAAGAGCAAGACAAUGUUUGAAAUUGGGAUGUGGGGUAAUCAAGUUGGAGAUGAAGGAGCGAAGGCGUUUGCAGAGGCGCUGAGGAACCACCCCAGGUUAACAAACGUGAGUCUCGCAUUCAAUGGCAUCACGACAGAGGGAGGCAAAAGUAUUGCUGAAGCUAUGCAACACAACAACUCCGUGAAAAUAUUCUGGGCUUCCUCUUCAGUAUCUCUUUGUGUCCAGCCUUUAGAAAUUGCUCAGGGCAGGAACAGCACAUCCCCCUUUGGCUGUCUAAAGUUGACUAAAAACGAGCUAGAUGAUGAGGCAGCAAUGAGUUUUGCAGAGAUGCUGAAGGUCAACAAGAAACUGGUGCAUUUAUGGCUUAUCCAGAAUCAGAUUACAGCCAAAGGGGUGAGGUACCUCAGCGAAGCUCUCAAGGAGAACACAGCCAUUAAAGAAGUCUGUUUGAACGGGAACCUGAUAAGCCAAGAGGAGGCCAAAGCUUUUGAAAAUGAAGAACGGAUCAUUUGCUUUUGAACGAGGACUUUCCCAUUUUUGACAAGCGUCGUGUUACUAAGGUUACUCCUACCCUUGGACUGCAAAGUUUAUAAAGGCAUAAAUCUGUAGUGCUCAUGGCAGGAGAGAGAUGCAUGAUUAGCUGCCUUUUUACGAACAUGCUGCGCUCCCUCAGCCCCAUCCCUUACCCUGCCUGUUAUUCUUAAUCCUUUUGUGUGUACAAGGAACCUAAAAUGGAAAAGCAUGAUCCAUUUUCCUUCCUUCUCCCAUGUUACCACCCGUCCAGAACUUUGAGAAAUAAUUCUGCAGUUGCUGACUCACCCACAAAACUUUGGUAGGCUGGAAGAAGAAUCUCCAGUUAAAAUGCCAAACCAGUGAACCCUCACCUUCCCAUUUCCCAAAUCAGCCCGCCUGAAGCAAAACAUCAGAAAAAGGCUUGGGUUUAAGUCAGACUUUCUCCGUUUCCUACAUGGUAACAGACCUUUCCCAGGGCCCAAUUCCAUCUAUUCCAGCUGACAAACACAUUUUAAAAUACUCAUAAAGCUUUUCACAGAACCAGCACUUAAAAAAGAAGAAAAAAGGAGAAAAGCAACUUACCAUUCAUUAUCUUUCAGCGGAUUUUCCUCCCUCUCUGUGGUAUCAGCACUGAUUUUUCACAGGGGGACAGAUGACUGUGCCAGAGGAAAGUCAGCUAACUUGAAUGAUUUCUGCACCUGAGCCGUUUGUUUACUGAAGCAAAAGGGCACACAGCUACAGACGAGCUGGAUUUCAAUUGCAAAAGCAACUGCCAAAGCAAGCCCUUUAAAGACUUCUCAGUGGCUUUAACAGAUCAGACCCCCAUGCACCUUGUCAAAACGUUCCUGUUUCACCAGCCUGCCCUUACGGAGGGGAGGAGACGCUGGUGCAGGAAGGGCCUUCAGCAGAGGUGUCAUUUCCCUCUGUUGGAGGGAAGUGUGGCUCCCAGUUUGCUAUAAUCACUGAAUUAUUUGCUCAUUUACCAGGUAAAAAAUCUAGUUAAAAACUCCAGCUACUGUCCUCACUUCACUGAUAGACUACAGCAGUACAGUGUCCCCGACAGCUCCCUCCAAGCUUUCCAGUGGAGACACUUCUGCCCCUUUUUUGGGUUUAGCACGGCCUUUGGUGCUAUUUGCAGCAGGACAACCACCUCAGCCCCCUUGCAAAUGCUGUUACACCCCCGGCUGUGACAAGCCAGGCAGCCAGGGCAGUUUUUUUUCAGCGACAGGAGCAUCUUCAGAGCCACAGCAGCUAAACACGGCCUCGAGGCGGUGGCAGGAACAAGCCCAGCUCCACGGAGGCCAGAGGUUGGCAUCGAUUACGGCAGCCAGCGACCGUGCCAGUCACAGCCACUCAUUUCAGAGGCUAUUUCAGGCUGCAAGCGCUCCUUUGGGCUGGGCUGAAGGACAUUUCGCAGCAUCCCGCUCCCAGCUCGCCCAGGGCAGGCGGUCUGGUUCACGCAGCACGGCGCCGCUUCGGGAAUUGUGCUGGGGAGAGCGGCUGCUGCCCCAGGAGCAGCUGGAGUUUCCCUGUUUAUUGGCACAGCAUUUCAGGCCGCAGUUCUUUAGUCUUCCUGGACUAUUCGCAGAGCGCGUCGGAGCAACACAGCUCGCAGCUAGAGCCUUGUUCACCCCAAUUCAGAGACAACUUUUUUAAGACUUGUUUGUAAUUUGCUAAGACAUUGUGUGCGGCGUUGUUUGUUUGUUUGUUUGUUUGUUUUUUUCCACUUGUCCACGGUGAUAAUAAACAGCUUUUUAAAGAACUCGAACCAGCUGCCUGCAAAGUGCUUUGGCUUUGCCGACGCCCUGUCAAAGCAGACGCUUGGCUGGAUCGAGACAGGGCU